rnacentral:rRNA from 1 species
AACGCACCUUGCGCCCCUUGGAAUUCCGAGGGGCACACCCGUUUGAGUGUCGUGAACAUCCUUCAACCUUUCUUGGUUUCUCGAUCAAGAAAGGCUUGGACUUUGGAGGUUUUAAUUGCUGGCCUCCCUUGAAGCCAGCUCCUCCUAAAUGGAUUAGUGGGGUCUGCUUUGCGGAACCUUGACGUGAUAAGAUGUUUCUACGUCUUGAGUUUUGCACUGUUGCUUUGGGCCCUGCUUCUAAUCGUCUUCAUGACUCUUGUAACCUUGACCUCAAAUCGGGUGAGACUACCCGCUGAACUUAA